AAGACUAUCAGACUCUAGACCCGAGACCUAUAGACACACAAAAAUCCACCGCUUUUCCAUAGAAAAAGCAUAAGCUUCUUCUUCUUGACCCACCUUCUGAAUCUCUCAAAAAUUGCCGGAAAAUACAACCACACACCCCUAACCAGCGACAACCCUCAAAUGACCACACCUCCCUCCGGCUCCAUCUAUAUUUACAUAUAUUUCUUAUAUUUUUCUGCUUCCUUUUGCUAUAUAUUGACGUGAAAAACGGAAGCUGUGAAUCUGAAAUUUCCCGUUUUCAAGUGCUUCAGAAUCUCCACAUUGAUCUUCGGCAGCAAAGCAGAUUAUUGCUCUAGAAAUCAUUCCACCAGUGGGUUUCAGCUGAUUAUCAACUCUAGUUGGCGUUGGAGGUUUAGUCCAUUUUGGAGCUCGUUUGUGAGAUAUGGGCUUGAGUUCGUGUUCGAUUCGAGAUUUACGAUGUCGAGUCGAGGUUCCCAUUGCUGCCCGCGGUUCUAAUCACGAUUUUUGCUCGUUUUUAUAUUGCUGUUUCACGGCUGAAUUCUCGGACUUCAGGCCUGUGUACUCAUUGCUACUUCAUUAAUUUUGAAGAGAAUUUUGGCUUAACAGGUUUAUCUCUGUAUCAUUCAUUUUAUUUGAACUUGUUUUGGGUGGUUUGAGCUUUAGAGUAGUUGUUUAUGUUUAACUUCCUCUCGAUUCAAGUUUAUGUUUUAUGUCGAUUGUGUGUUCAUCAAAUUCUUCUGGUGAUAUUUUUAGAUGGUAAAUGAGCAUGAAUUAUUUGGAUCUCUGUUUGGUUUGAUUAGUGUGAGAGAUUAAUGUUGGAAUAUUGGAACUAAUCAUGAUGAAACUGUGUUCCAUGCGCCGUUCUUGUUGGUGUUUUCUUGA